AGAGCCAACUGAUAAUGCUGCAAGGUUUUACAAGUGGUUCACUGAGGGACAAGAACGGGGUGCAUGGUUGCAGAACCUUAGCUAUGGCGUUUUUGCCCUGGGUAAUCGCCAAUAUGAACACUUUAACAAGAUUGGGAAGGUGAUAGAUGAACAAUUGAGUGAACAAGGUGCAAAACGUCUUGUGCCUGUUGGCCUUGGUGAUGAUGAU
rnacentral:misc_RNA from 1 species